UACGGAGGGGGCUAGCGUUGUUCGGAAUUACUGGGCGUAAAGCGCACGUAGGCUGACUAUUAAGUCAGGGGUGAAAUCCCGGGGCUCAACCCCGGAACUGCCUCUGAUACUGGUAGUCUUGAGUUCGAGAGAGGUGAGUGGAAUUCCGAGUGUAGAGGUGAAAUUCGUAGAUAUUCGGAGGAACACCAGUGGCGAAGGCGGCUCACUGGCUCGAUACUGACGCUGAGGUG
rnacentral:rRNA from 1 species